UACGUAGGGGGCGAGCGUUGUCCGAAGUUACUGGGCUUAAAGCGCGUGUAGGCGGGUCGUUAAGUGUCCGAGUGAAAUCCCACGGCUCAACCGUGGAACUGCCGGGCAUACUGGCGAUCUUGAGGCAUUCAGGGGCGAGCGGAACAAAUGGUGGAGCGGUGAAAUGCGUAGAUAUCAUUUGGAACGCCAAUGGUGAAAACAGCUCGCUGGGAAUGAUCUGACGCUGAGACGCGAAAGCCAGGGGAGCGAACGGG
rnacentral:rRNA from 1 species